rnacentral:rRNA from 1 species
GUCUACGGCCAUACUUCUUUGAAAAAACCGGUUCUCGUCCGAUCACCGAAUUUAAGCAACGUCGAGCCCGGUUAGUACUUGGAUGGGUGACCGCCUGGGAAUACCGUGUGCUGUAGACU